rnacentral:rRNA from 1 species
UAGGAGCUUAACUNCUAAAUUGCCAUUGAUACUGGCGGGCUUGAGUGUAGAUGAGGUNGGCGGAAUGCGUGGUGUAGCGGUGGAAUGCAUAGAUAUCACGCAGAACUCCGAUUGCGAAGGCAGCUUACUAAGGUACAACUGACGCUGAAGCACGAAAGCGUGGGUAUCAAACAGGAUUAGAUACCCUGGUAGUCCACGCAGUAAACGAUGAUAACUGGGCGUAUGCGAUAUACAGUAUGCUCCUAAGCGAAAGCGUUAAGUUAUCCACCUGGGGAGUACGCCGGCAACGGUGAAACUCAAGGGAAUUGACGGGGGCCCGCACAAGCGGAGGAACAUGUGGUUUAAUUCGAUGAUACGCGAGGAACCUUACCCGGGAUUGAAAUGUAGAUGACCGCCGGUGAAAGUCGGCUUCCCUUCGGGGCAUCUAUGUAGGUGCUGCAUGGUUGUCGUCAGCUCGUGCCGUGAGGUGUCGGCUUAAGUGCCAUAACGAGCGCAACCCCUGUCUACAGUUGCCAUCAGGUAAUGCUGGGAACUCCGUAGAGACUGCCGUCGUAAGGCGUGAGGAAGGUGGGGAUGACGUCAAAUCAGCACGGCCCUUACAUCCGGGGCGACACACGUGUUACAAUGGUGGGGACAAAGGGCAGCUACCUGGCGACAGGAUGCGAAUCUCCAAACCCCAUCACAGUUCGGAUCGGAGUCUGCAACUCG